AGGAUUAACGCUGGCGGCGUGCCUGACACAUGCAAGUCGAACGAGGCCGCAAGGCCGAGUGGCGGACGGGUGAGUAACACGUGACCAACCAACCUCGAAGUUGGGAAUAGCUCUGCGAAAGUAGGGGUAAUACCGAAUGUGGCCCAGGGCGGGCAUCCGCCUUGGUCUAAAGAUUCAUCGCUUCGAGACGGGGUCGCGGCCUAUUAGCUUGUUGGUGAGGUAACGGCUCACCAAGGCGAUGAUGGGUAGCUGGUCUGAGAGGCCGACCAGCCACACUGGGACUGAGACACGGCCCAGACUCCUACGGGAGGCAGCAGUGAGGAAUCUUCCGCAAUGGGCGAAAGCCUGACGGAGCAACGCCGCGUGUGGGAUGAAGACUCUAGGGUUGUAAACCACUGUCGGAGGGGACGAUCGUGACGGUACCCUCCAAGAAAGCCCCGGCUAACUACGCGCCAGCAGCCGC
rnacentral:rRNA from 1 species